UACGUAGGGCGCAAGCGUUGUCCGGAAUUAUUGGGCGUAAAGAGCUCGUAGGUGGCUUGUCACGUCGGGUGUGAAAGCUUGGGGCUUAACUCCAGGUCUGCAUUCGAUACGGGCUGGCUAGAGGUAGGUAGGGGAGAACGGAAUUCCUGGUGUAGCGGUGAAAUGCGCAGAUAUCAGGAGGAACACCGGUGGCGAAGGCGGUUCUCUGGACCUUACCUGACGCUGAGGAGCGAAAGCGUGGGGAGCGAACAGG
rnacentral:rRNA from 1 species